CUGAGGUACUGGAGCUCAUAAGAGCUAGUGAGCAUGCCCAUGUUACAGCUGUGUGCUCUGGGUGUGACUGGUGGUGUGUUUGGAGGAGGCAUAUGCAUCAGAGUGAAUUAGUCACAAAUGAGUAGGCAGCAAUAAGGAUCUGAAUAAUGCUGCCUGGUAUCCUGCUUGCUCCCAGUGCCCAAAUGGGUCCAAAGCUGCAUGCAAGUUGUUUGACAAAACAAAAAUUUUCUGCUGACUAAUGAAUUUCUGACUUCCUCCAGUCUACCAAACAUUCUAGUUUGAGAAUUCUGGAACCAUUCAAACCCGCAAUAAGGAAGGCCAUUGGGUGCCUGGCAUGGCUGCAAGCUGCUACUGGGGUAUCUGCACUGCAACACUGACAUUCCUGGAGUUUGCCUACCAGCUUUGAUCACCAAUACCUAGUACUGUGACCUUCAUGGCACGCAGAACUGUUCUCUGGGUUUUCUGCAGAGUAGUUUUGCAAAAGGACGGUCAGGGCUGUGAAGUCUCCCUCAGCCCCUCCUUCUCUGAAUAAAAAUAAGGCUUCAUUGUUUUAGUGUAAGUGCACAUGCAUUGGUUUAUAGUCAAAUAACCAAAUGUGCCAGGUCUGACUGAUUUCACCAUCUGCCCAUCUUUGAAUGUAUAUGUCUAUGAAUCUUACUGAACCUCUGGUUUACCCAGGGCAGAGUAUGACCAUUGCCAUGAGGUUGGCAAUAAAAGAGCCCUAGUUAUUUAACAUAUAUAACUGUUUUCAGAACUGAAAUGUUAAGGUGACUUAAAAAUAGCUAAGAGGUAGAUACAGCAAGCAAAUACAGACCAUUCUUCUGUAUUUUUGUUAUUAUUCUAGAGCGUUUGGAACACACUGGGGAGAGGAAUGCAAAUUUUGAUAAAGAGGGUCAAAUUUUGUCUUUGUGUCUUUUGGAUUUUGAUUCUGUAUUUCCUGUUCUCUGUGUACUUUACUAAUUGAACUCACACAUGUAUGCUUUUUUCCCCCUUCUAUCAGCAUAUAAUCAUAUCCCUCUUAUAAACUUCUGAACAACAAACAUGGUAAAGGAAUUUGUGUGGUAGUUUUAUUACAUCCUGCAACUUUCAAAGUUUUGUCUAAAAUGUAUGAAGUGACCAUGCGACCCAGAUUUUCUGUUUGUAGAAGAGUACCAAAAUUUAUCAGAAGCUUUGAUGAACAGCUUCAAAUUUAUCAGGUAAAAUGAAACUGGAGGAACCAGUGACCCAUACAAAAUGGAAUACUGGAAUAAUGUUAUCUGCAUUUAUAAGAAAGUAUGGAUUAAAGUAAUAAAGGAGUCAUGGUGGAAAAAUAAUGAAGAUGCCAGUAAACCAUACUUUCAGAAAUAAAUGGCCUUUUGCAGUGACGACCAGUAUGAUUCAAAUUUAGUCACAUUUGGCUUGUAGCUAUAGAAAACACAUGACUAUUUAUAUCAAAAAUAGGUGUUGCUGGGGGGAGGGUCCGGGGGGGAACAACAGUAAAAUAAGAGCAUCAGUCUCUGAAAGCUGGUAAAACUCUCUACUUACUGAGAUAGAGAUAUGUAUAUAUAUAAUUACGUAUGCAUAUAUAAUUACAUUCUAUUGUGUUUCAUUGAUUUACUUUGAUCCCAAUUCUUUGCUAGUGAUAUAAUGAAGAAAGCUAGGCAUACUCUUUAAAUUUUUUGCUAUUGUUGUUCAAUCCCUUAUAUUUGGUCAAACUGCAGUUUCAUUGCUGGAUAAUAUGGUAAAAAGAUUCAUUGUAAGGGUUACUUAACAACAUUGGUGGUGUUGAUGAAUAGUUGCAAUUAAUACAUUCCCUUAAUUAGUCUGAUACCCAGAAGAUGCACCUGGCAGGUCAUUUUAAUACUACAAUUGAUUUAUUGCUGCUAGAAAUGAUUUUACCAGCUAUCUUCAGAGAGCACAAUUAGAGAGGAUUUCAUUUUUUUAUGCAUUUUCACUGAGGAAUAAACAUAAAAGGUCUAUGUAAUUCAGAACAAAGCAGCUAUAAUGUACUAAUGGUUUAUGGAUUUUAUUAAUAUUCAGCUAACAUUAGAGGCAAUUUUAGAGAAUAACAACCUAUUUUCUAUAUGAA